GGAGCACGAAGGUUAGCUAAUCACGGUCGGACAUCGUGAGGUUAGUGCAAAGGCAUAAGCUAGCUUGACUGCGAGAGUGACGGCUCGAGCAGGUACGAAAGUAGGUCUUAGUGAUCCGGUGGUUCUGAAUGGAAGGGCCAUCGCUCAACGGAUAAAAGGUACUCCGGGGAUAACAGGCUGAUACCGCCCAAGAGUUCAUAUCGACGGCGGUGUUUGGCACCUCGAUGUCGGCUCAUCACAUCCUGGGGCUGAAGUAGGUCCCAAGGGUAUGGCUGUUCGCCAUUUAAAGUGGUACGCGAGCUGGGUUUAGAACGUCGUGAGACAGUUCGGUCCCUAUCUGCCGUGGGCGUUGGAAGAUUGAGAGGGGCUGCUCCUAGUACGAGAGGACCGGAGUGGACGAAUCACUGGUGUUCGGGUUGUCAUGCCAAUGGCAUUGCCCGGUAGCUAAAUUCGGAAGAGAUAACCGCUGAAAGCAUCUAAGCGGGAAACUUGCCUCGAGAUGAGUCUUCCCUGGGGCUUAAAGCCCCCUGAAGGAACGUUAAAGACUAUGACGUUGAUAGGCUGGGUGUGUAAGUGCAGCGAUGUAUUGAGCUAACCAGUACUAAUGAUCCGUGAGGCUUAACCUUACAACACCGAAGGUGUUU
rnacentral:rRNA from 1 species